rnacentral:lncRNA from 1 species
GAUCGAUUUUCUGUAGAUGUAGGAUAUUGGAACACUCAGUGCCAAUCCUGGAGAUUUGUUGGGAUUUAGUUAAUGUAGCUUCUUCUCUAUUAGUUCUAGGGUUAUAUUCAGGGGCGCUGCCUGGCGGGGAAAAGUGGUACUGAUUCUAAGGGCCCAGCCCAACGCAGCACGGCCCACGGCCCGCGGAUGGCAAUUAAUAAUAUAAUAUUAAUAUUCUUGCCUUUUUUUUUUUUUUUAAAUGUCUCAUUACAAAGAAAUGGUAAUUGGAAAUAAACGUAUUAAACUCACAACUGUCGAUUUCCAUAACGUUUUCGUUAGUUAAUUAACAUAUUGUCAUUUGGCCUUCCCCCUGAGCUCUUGCGAAAUGGUUCAGCCGCAACGCACGAUGCGUUGAAUCGAACAGCAUCCGAAAUGUGAGAUGCUGGCACUGGCAGCAGGUGUACAGAGCGGCUGGGCUGGCUGAGGUCAGGUCUUAACCACAUGAUGGUGAGCUGGUGGUAACAGCUACAGAAAUGAAGUCAGGUUGGCAAAAACUGAAGGAAAGACGGGAGAAAGAGGAGAGGGCCAAAAGAGGCAGGCAACUGGUCACUCAAUUAUUCGCCAAUAAAGAAGGAGGAGGACUAGAUCCGCCCACGGCCACCACGACUGGAUUCCAUUUCGGAGAAGGAGUGCAUCAUGUCUUCUGAAAAGACUAUUGCAGUUAUACAAGGUAUGAAAUUGUGAGUACUCUUAUGGUUUCUUGGGGCUCUGGCUGUGAAGCAUCCACAGGCUUAUGCUGCCAUGUACUGGUUUAACAUUGUAAUGUACUCUCAAUUACAAAGCAAGGUCACUAACUACAUGAAUGGGUAAUCAAUAAUCAAACUGACAAUUGUAGUACAGUUUCAAGCUGCUUACAGACAAUUUUAGCAUAACAAUCAAAUUUCUGUAUUUGUGAAUCUGUACACACAGCUUUAUUUUCAACACAAAAUUCCAUUGGAUUUCCAUAGGUGUUUGUGUUGUGUGGAAAACAGUGUGUUUGGAUUUGCUGAAAAGUUGAUGUGUUGAAACCAAACUGGGUCAAGUCCAAUUUUAGCAUGAGAGAAGGACAUUGUUGUAAAAUUGUGUUUAAGCAGCUAUUGGACAAUAUGUAUAAGACUGCUGCCUAAAAGACAGUAGGCUAUAAAUACUUAGUUUAUUACUUGAAUUACAUGAUGUCACUAACUGAAUGAAAUACGUUUAAUAAGUAAGUUCAUACCCUUAUUUAAAGUCACACAAACCCAUACUCCAUGAAGGGGCAACGAAAAGUCUAACUGAAGUGCUAUUGUGAUGCUGGGCCAUGUUUACCAAAACAGUCGAUAGAUGUUGGGGGGGGCCCAAAAUUAGAAUCUUUCAUAGGGCCCAAAAUUCCUGGC